UUUUUUACCAUUUGAAAAUCUUUUUUGGGUUUUAACAAUAGUAUUUUUCGGGUUGAGAAUAUGAAAGCAGAGAGUAUUUUACGAGACUUUAUUUUCUGGCUAUUUUGGGUGUUCUUCCAAACUACUCCGAGCCAAGACUAUACAUAUAUUUCUAGUAUAAUCCGACAUGACAACAAUAGUCAGUCUAGUUAAUCUGCGUUUUUUACAAUAUCUAAUAUAUAAAAUUCUCGUGUCACCAAUUUCGUUGCUGAUCUCCUCCGAAAUGGCUCGACCGAUUUUCUUGAAAUUUGAUGUGCUUUCGAUUAUAAGUUUUUUUAGAUGUUUUCACUUCCGAGAUGAAACAAAUAAUGUUUCGGCCUACUGAGAUUUCAUAUGUGUCAAGCCAUAGCCAAAGCCGUGCCAAGGAGUCAAGCCAUUUCGAAGCAGUUCAACUACAAACAGCCAGAGAAUUUAAUAUAUUUGAGCAAUGCCAAUAAGACGCAGAGGCUCCAAUUUGAGUCGUCAAACGAUCAAGUCUAGAACAAUGCGAGAUAUAAGAGUACGAAUUUUAUGUGAACAAAUCCAAGAAAACAAUGCAGAUGAGCGUGUGAGCAUGGCGCAGUUACGUAAAUCACAAUCGCAAGAGGCCCGAGAUUAAUGAAAUUAACAAAAGCAACUUGAACGGAGAGUAGCCCGAAGAUACAUAGUCGACUGACGUAUCAAAUCAAUCAUCAAGCAUUUACAUCAAAUUUAUUUCUUCGACUAGCAUUCCAGUAUGAGCCUUAUGUGGAAUAUUAUGCUCAUUCAUUAUUGAUACUUUGGAAAAGGAAUGCCCGCAUUGUCAUGCACUCAAAUUUAAAAUGAGUCAGUGCACUCGCCAAUCGCGUGCGCCAAUCUCAAUUCACAUUUUGGCAGGCAUAUCGUCAGCGAGCUGGACGCUCUGUUAAAUGAGCACAAUGAAUUAUUGAAAUUAUUCAAAUCACACAUGCACAAACUACAAUACCAGACUAAAACUAGAACACCAGCUGACAUCAUGGUUGGCGACCGUACAGCUACGCGACAAAUCGUGAUUCGAAGAAGAAAUAAUUAUCUUCAGUUUAUUAGUGAUACCCAUCGUUCAUAUGACGGUCUCCUAUAUCCACUAAUUUUCUGGAAGGGACAAGACGGAUAUUGUGUAAACUUUAAACAACGAAAUCACGUAGCACAUAGAGCCGAAAACUAUUCGUAUAGAUUGAUGAUUAGACGCGGCCGAGACAAUUUUAUUUUACAAUGUCGUGCGAUAUGCCAAAAAUUUAUGGUCGACAUGUAUGUGCGUGCGGAAGAAUAUAUUUACUUGCGAGAUGCUGUUGGUAUAUAACAAUUUACCAUGCACAAAAACAAACAACGCAUAAGGUUUUCCGACCCGUGAACAUACCACAUAAAAUUGGCCAUGGGAAAAACAUUUGUUUUCCAGAUUCAGACCACAUUUCAAAUAUUGGCCUUGUGAUUAGUUAAUAGUCAUGGCGAACAAAAGACCUAUCGGAAAUUGGUAACCAGUGCUGCCAAUAUUUUUUCAGAAAAAAAGCAAUUCUUAACUUGAAGAAAACGAAGAAACACCUGCAAAUUUUCAAAAACAAA